rnacentral:rRNA from 1 species
ACGUAGGGACCAAGCGUUGUUCGGAUUUACUGGGCGUAAAGGGCGCGUAGGCGGCAAUUCAAGUCAGCUGUGAAAUCUCCGGGCUUAACUCGGAACGGUCAGCUGAUACUGCUUUGCUAGAGUGCGGAAGGGGCAAUCGGAAUUCUCGGUGUAGCGGUGAAAUGCGUAGAUAUCGAGAGGAACACCUGCGGCGAAGGCGACUCCCUGGCCUGUUCUUGACGCUGAGGCGCGAAAGCUGGGGGAGCAAACGGGA